rnacentral:rRNA from 1 species
UACGUAGGGUGCGAGCGUUAAUCGGAAUUACUGGGCGUAAAGCGUGCGCAGGCGGUCUGUUAAGACCGAUGUGAAAUCCCCGGGCUUAACCUGGGACCUGCAUUGGUGACUGGCAGGCUUUGAGUGUGGCAGAGGGAGGUAGAAUUCCACGUGUAGCAGUGAAAUGCGUAGAGAUGUGGAGGAAUACCGAUGGCGAAGGCAGCCUCCUGGGCCAACACUGACGCUCAUGCACGAAAGCGUGGGGAGCAAACAGG